rnacentral:lncRNA from 1 species
AUGGCGCCUGUUGUGACAGGGAAGUUCGGGGAGCGCCCUCAGCCACAGCGCCUAACGAGGAAGAGUAACUGGAGCGUGGAACUUGCAACAUGUAGUCAUGAAACGACGAGUCUGCUGGUGAGCUCAGCUCUGUUGUUUUUAGAUGUUGAACUCUGCUGUUUUCUUUUCCUUCUCUCCCCCUAUCAGCCAUAUUUCUCUCUCCAUCUCCCCCCUUCUCCCUCUGAGCCAAGAGUUAACAGUUCAGCCCCCCCC